AAGGUCUUACUCUGAGAACCAGGCUGCAGUGCAGUGGCAUGAUCACGGAUCACUACAGCCUCAAACUCUCAGGCUCUGGAGACUCUCCCCUCAGCCUCCCAAGUAGCUGGGACCACAGGCACCUACUACCAUGCCCAGGACUCAUGUGAUUAUACUGAACUGACCCAGAUAACCCAGGAUAAUUCACAUCUCAAGACCCUUAAACUUGAUGACGUCUGCAAAGUCCCUUUUGCCAUAAGGUUAUAUUGGCAUAUGGUCCAGGAAUUAGUGCAGAGCCACAAUCUCAGAAAGAAAAUGAGAGUGGAUAAUGAAGACAGAUCAUCUGGGUGUAAACCUGAGGAUAUUCCAGAAUAUAGAGGUUAGAGAGAUAAGAAAGAAACUAGCAAGGAAACUAAGGAGCAGCCUCUAAGUAGAAGGAAAAGAAUGGUGAGUUGUAAUUGGAGGUGAAGACAGUUUCAAGGGAGGGUAUGUUAAUUGCUGCUGACACAUCAAGGAAGAUGAGGACUGAGCAUUGACCAUUGGAUUUAGCAACAUGGAGUUUUCUGCUGACCUGGACCUGAGCAGUUUUAAUGGAGUGGUGGGGGCAAUGCAUGACAGAAGAGAAUUCAAGACAGAAGGGACUUUUCCAA
rnacentral:lncRNA from 10 species